rnacentral:rRNA from 1 species
UACGGAGGGUGCGAGCGUUAAUCGGAAUUAUUGGGCGUAAAGGGUGCGUAGGUGGUUUAAUAAGUUAUUCGUAAAAGCCCUGGGCUUAACCUGGGAAUCGCGGAUAAUACUGUUGAACUAGAGUAUGGGAGAGGGUAGUGGAAUUUCCGGUGUAGCGGUGAAAUGCGUAGAGAUCGGAAGGAACACCAGUGGCGAAGGCGGCUACCUGGCCCAAUACUGACACUGAGGCACGAAAGCGUGGGUAGCAAACAGG